rnacentral:rRNA from 1 species
UACAGAGGGGGCAAGCGUUGUUCGGAAUUACUGGGCGUAAAGGGCGCGUAGGCGGCCCGCUAAGUCGAACGUGAAAUCCCCGAGCUCAACUCGGGAACUGCGUCCGAUACUGGCGGGCUUGAAUCCGGGAGAGGGAUGCGGAAUUCCAGGUGUAGCGGUGAAAUGCGCAGAUAUCAGGAAGAACACCCCGUGGCGAAAGCGGCUCUCUGGAACGGUACUGACGCUGAGACGCGAAAGCGUGGGGAGCGAACAGG